UAAGUAUAUGUGGAAUCUCAUUUCGCUUAUGUGAACAUUUUCUAAGUGAUUUGGCAUUCUAAAUGGGACGAAGACUCAUAAAAUAAAAACUCACUUAGAAGAUGUCCACAUGAGCAACACUGCUUU
rnacentral:pre_miRNA from 1 species